rnacentral:misc_RNA from 1 species
CUGUUAUAUUCUCAACUUCCUGGUGAUUGUUGACGAUUGUAUGUCUGUGACCAGAGUCUAGAAUCCAACAUUUGCAUGGAAUUAUUUCCUUUUCCUGCACGUGCCAGUGUUGAUUUUCAUCUUCCUGAUAAGGAGGACAGUAACACCAACAGGAGCCAUUGAUCUAUGUGUUGGAGCAGAAAUUGUGUUUCCUGUGUAGCACAUUAGUCACCAGCCCCCUCAGACACAUGUGAUACACAUGACUAUUGUGUCUCACUCAGCGGGCCUGCAUGUUGUAUCAACAGGGACUGUCCGUAUAGAAGUUUGGGCUAUUCAGUCAUCAUAAUGGUCGCCUCGCUGCUGAUGUGGAUGACAUGCUUGGUCAUUGCUGCUGAAGCUGGCCCCUGUAUGGAUAACCAACACUGUUCAGACUGUGACAACACGACAGGACAUUGCCGCACUGUGUGUGACUCUGGGUAUUUUGAUCUGAAAUGUUUGUCAGUUUGUGACGGAUAUUGUAAAUAUAACCUGUGUAGUCAGUCAGACGACGGUGGUGGACGUUGUACCGAGGGAUGUGUCCCAGGAUAUCAAGGCAGGAGAUGCAACAUACCAUGUGACAGUCCAGGAGGUAACUGUACAGCAUGUCCAGGUGGUUGUAAUGGAGGAUAUUGUCAGCUGGGCUCCUUCUGUGUAUCUGGAUGUGUAGACUCCUACUUCGGGACAGAUUGUGAAUCGGGUAGGUAUUGACCAGGUGGUACAGUGGGACUAGCUGUAGGACUGGCCACAACAGCUGUCAGUUUCAUCGUGUUGAUCUUCCUGGCAGUGUGCUGCAAGUGUAGUAAACACUUGAGGCGAAUCAGUGUCACCCAGGAAGAGCAUGUUGUGCGCGACUCUGUUGCCGAGAUGGGCGAUGCCCCUGUCUAUGAACUAGAAUGGUAUACUGACAUCCCACAGUCAGAGGACGUUGUGCGCGACUCUGAUGCCGAGGUGGGCGAUGCCCCUGUCUAUGAACUAGAAUGGUAUACUGACAUCCCACUGAAAGAUAUGGCCAUGGAUCGUGAGUCACCUGAUGGGAGCUGUGGAGGUGCAGGUGAAGCUGGUGGUGUGGAGGAUGAUGUGUAUGACGUUGCAGAUGGAGGCAAACGGGAUCGUGCUGGUGUUAUCGGCAAUAUCUAUUCCAAAAUAUCCCAUGCUUAGAAAUCAAGUAUUUCUUAAAUAUCGUUUGUAAACUGUUUGUUCAUUGCGUAGUUCUUAGUUUGAUCUGCCACCUAUGAGGUCAAAUUGAUUGAGCAUCUGUCCGGAGAGCAGAAGGUUGGUGGUCAGUCCCCAGGCCGUGUCAUUCAUGCCAUACGUGUCACACGUGUCACACGUGUCAUACGUAUCAUAUGUGUUAUACGUGUCAUACGUGUUAUACGUGUCAUACGUGCCUUACGUGUCACACGUGUCAUACGUGUCAUACGUGUCAUACGUGCCUUACGUGUCAUACGUGUUAUACGUGUCAUACGUGUCUUACGUGCCAUACGUGUCAUACGUGUCAUACGUGUCAUACGUGUUAUACGUGUCAUACGUGCCUUACGUGUCAUACGUGUCACACGUGCCAUACGUGUCUUACGUAUCACACGUGUCAUACGUGUCUUACGUGUCAUACGUGUCAAACGUGACAUAUGCGUCUUACGUGUCAUACGUCUCAUACGUGUCAUUCGUGCCAUACGUGUUAUAAGUGUCAUACGUGUCAUUCGUGUCAUGCGUGCCAUACGUGUCAUACGUGUCAUUCGUGCCAUACGUGUCAUACGUGUCAUACGUGUCCAUCGUGUCAUACGUGUCAAGAUACGUUUACACAUGGUUCAUGUCGUGUCCCUGCCUUGUCAUCGGCAUUGAGACAGGGCUCCGAGUUAGGUGACCGUGCUUCAGUGAGAUGACCGUGUUAAACUGUGGCUUGAUAUAUCUGUGGUCAACUGUCGUGAACGAGCCAAUACAUCCAGCUCUCACUUAAGUUUGAUGAGACUACAUAUAGAAAAAUAUGGUAUGAUGUUUGUAAGUAUUGUAAUAUUUGUAAAUAUCAAAAUGCAUGAAUAUCCA